AAUAUUGGACAAUGGGCGAAAGCUUGAUCCAUCCAUGCCGCGUGUGUGUAGAAGGUCUUCGGAUUGUAAAGCACUAUAAGUUGGGUGGAAGCGCAGUAAGUUAACACCUUGCUGUAUUGACGUUACAGUCAGAAUAAGCACCAGUUACUUUCGUGUCAGCCGCCGCGGUAAUACGACCGGUGCAAUCUUUAACCGGGAUUAAUUGGAGUAAAACGCGCGUAGGUGGUUUGUUAAAUUGAAAGUGAAAGCCCCGGGCUCAACCUGGGAACUGCUUUCAAAACUGGCAAGCUAGAGUAUGGCAGAGGGUGGUAGAAUUUCCUGUGUAGCGGUGAAAUGCGUAGAUAUAGGAAGGAACCCCAGUGGCGAAGGCGACCACCUGGGCUAAUACUGACACUGAGGUGCGAAAGCGUGGGGAGCAAAC
rnacentral:rRNA from 1 species